GGACGCGUAGCUCAAUGGACAGAGCACCGCACUUCUAAGGCGAGCGAUGCGGGUUCGACUCCUGCCGUGUCCA
rnacentral:tRNA from 1 species